CCCAGAGUUCAUCUGAAAUGUCGAUUAGGGGCUUCUCCUAAGCUUAUGUAGUUUAUUCUGACGUAGUGAAAGAGAUAAACUGGAAAAUGCAGGAGUUCAAAGCAACUUGUGCACAAAACAUCCCAGUUUUAAUAUGUGGAUAAGGUCACACGAGAGUAUAUUAAAAUAUGAUGGUCGGAAUGCAAAUGACGCGCAGCUUAUUUCGAAGUUUACCGAUAGGAGGGAAAUGCCGGUAACGAAGAAAAUUUACUGCUCAUCUCGUGACUGGCAACUAGUUCAGCUCCAAUUUUAAAAUCCGCGAUACGGCGGAAAAUUGUGAAAUGCACGUCUGGAUUGAACAUGGCACUAGGGUGUAUUCCUCUACUGUGCUGACUACUGAUAUAGAAUAUUGGGGCCAUCAAUUCGUUCCAUUUUCUUGGAGGUGGGAGUUGUGUUACUCUAAUGAGGUCAAAUGAGAGCGAAACCAUGUUCAGUAUCUACUUUUUUACGAC